rnacentral:rRNA from 1 species
UACGGGGGGGGCAAGCGUUGUUCGGAAUUACUGGGCGUAAAGGGCUCGUAGGCGGCCAACUAAGUCGGAUGUGAAAUCCCCAGGCUUAACCUGGGAACUGCAUCCGAUACUGGAUGGCUUGAAUCCGGGAGAGGGAUGCGGAAUUCCAGGUGUAGCGGUGAAAUGCGUAGAUAUCUGGAGGAACACCGGUGGCGAAGGCGGCAUCCUGGACCGGCAUUGACGCUGAGGAGCGAAAGCCAGGGAGCAA